rnacentral:rRNA from 2 species
UGGGGAAUAUUGCGCAAUGGUCGAAAGACUGACGCAGCGACGCCGCGUGUGGGAGGAAGCCUUUCGGGGUGUAAACCACUGUCAGGCGGGAAGAACCGCGCGUGUCCAAAUACGGCACGCGCCUGACGGUACCGCCAGAGGAAGCGCCGGCUAACUCCGUGCCAGCAGCCGCGGUAAGACGGAGGGCGCAAGCGUUGUUCGGAAUUACUGGGCGUAAAGCGCGGGCAGGUGGUUUGUCUAGUCUUUUGUGAAAUUCCGGAGCUCAACUCUGGACAUGCAAGAGAUACUGGCUAACUAGAGACCGGUAGAGGCUAGUGGAAUUCCUGGUGUAGCGGUGGAAUGUGUAGAUAUCAGGAAGAACACCAGUGGCGAAGGCGGCUAGCUGGGCCGUGUCUGACACUCAUCCGCGAAAGCGUGGGGAGCAAACAGG